rnacentral:rRNA from 1 species
CAAGUCGAACGGUGAAGAGGAGCUUGCUCCUUGGAUCAGUGGCGAACGGGUGAGUAACACGUGAGCAAUCUGCCCUUGACUCUGGGAUAACUGCGGGAAACUGUAGCUAAUACCGGAUAUUACCUUGGAAGGCAUCUUCUGGGGUGGAAAGAAUUUUGGUCAAGGAUGAGCUCGCGGCCUAUCAGCUAGUUGGUGAGGUAAUGGCUCACCAAGGCGACGACGGGUAGCCGGCCUGAGAGGGUGACCGGCCACACUGGUACUGAGACACGGACCAGACUCCUACGGGAGGCAGCAGUAAGGAAUAUUGGUCAAUGGAGGCAACUCUGAACCAGCCAUGCCGCGUGCAGGAAGACGGCCCUACGGGUUGUAAACUGCUUUUAUACCGGAAUAAACCCCCGAUCGUGAUCGGGGUUGAAUGUACGGUAAGAAUAAGGAUCGGCUAACUCCGUGCCAGCAGCCGCGGUAAUACGGAGGAUCCAAGCGUUAUCCGGAUUUAUUGGGUUUAAAGGGUGCGUAGGCGGCUUAUUAAGUCAGGGGUGAAAGACGGUGGCUCAACCAUCGCAGUGCCUUUGAUACUGAUGAGCUUGAAUACACUAGAGGUAGGCGGAAUGUGACAAGUAGCGGUGAAAUGCAUAGAUAUGUCACAGAACACCAAUUGCGAAGGCAGCUUACUAUGGUGUUAUUGACGCUGAGGCACGAAAGCGUGGGG